UCCCAUGUGUUCUAGUGGAUAGGAUUCUUGGCUGUCAUCCAGGCGGCCUGGGUUCAAUUCCCGGCAUGGGAA